UGGUUUUGAGAAGGAACCGGCCU
rnacentral:piRNA from 2 species